rnacentral:ncRNA from 1 species
GGGUGUUAGUGUAUCUUGACAACAGGACGGUGGUCAUGGAAAUCGGAAUCCGCUAAGGACUGUGUAACAACUCACCUGCCACCACCGCAUACAAUAAUGUCGAA